CGCGAACGCUGGCGGCAUGCCUAACACAUGCAAGUCGUACGGAGAGUGGGGCAACUCACUCUCAGUGGCAAACGGGUGAGUAACGCGUGAAUAACCUGCCUUUGAGAAGGGGAUAACUGUCCGAAAGGAUAGCUAAUACCCUAUAUUGCCUUUUGUCACUAAGGCAAAAGGUGAAAGCGAGGCUGUCAAAGGCUUCGGCUCAAAGAGGGGUUCGCGUCCUAUCAGGUAGUUGGUGGGGUAAUGGCCUACCAAGCCAAUGACGGGUAGCUGGUCUUAGAGGACGAUCAGCCACAGCGGGACUGAGACACGGCCCGCACCCCUACGGGGGGCAGCAGUGGGGAAUCGUGGGCAAUGGGCGCAAGCCUGACCCCGCAAUGCCGCGUGAGGGAAGAAGCCCUUCGGGGUGUAAACCUCUGUCAGAUGGGAAGAUGGGACUAGGGGCUAAUACCUCCUAGUCUUGACGGUACCAUCAGAGGAAGGGACGGCUAACUACGUGCCAGCAGCCGCGGUAAUACGUAGGUCCCGAGCGUUGCGCGAUGUUACUGGGCGUAAAGCGUCCGUAGCUGGUUUCGUAAGCGGAUUGUCAAAGCCCGAAGCUCAACUUCGGCAAGGCAUUCCGAACUGCGUUACUUGAG
rnacentral:rRNA from 1 species